AGGGAAAGUUUGCAAAGAACUUUGAAGAGAGAGUUCAAGAGGGCGUGAAACCGCUUGGAAGAAAACAGCUGGAGCUGAUGAAAGUCUGUUGGAUUCAUCUGACAGGAGUUCGCAGCGGUCCUUUCUCGGAUCUUUUCGACUGAGGCUGGACCGUGAUGUUGAACUCUGGUUGGUGCAUUUCCUUCAGAUGUGCAUCGAAGGCGGUGACGACGCAGUGGAAUGUCAUGAGCAGCCGGCUGGUGCUUUUGCAUCGGUGUCCUGCUCGGAUGGACCACGUGUUGUUGACACUGUUGUUGCUUUUGCAUCCACAUCGUCUCAGUGGCACUGGAAGAGGGGAUCUUGAAUAUGAUGAUACUCUGUUCGCAGGUUCAUCGAAUCAGUCUCUUCUGUUAGAAGGUGUUUAACUGAGUUGAUGCAGCUUCGAUGUUUAAAGUCGGUCUCCCAGCUGACCCGUCUUGAAACACGGACCAAGGAGUCUAACAUAUGUGCGAGCUAUUGGGUGGAAAACCCAAGAGCGAAAUGAAAGUGAAACUCGGUGUUGAUCGAGUGAUAUGGGAUCCCCAUGUCCUUUGUGACUGGGGCGCACCAUAGUCCCGUCCCAUCUGCAUCGUCAGUGGGUCGGAGAUAGAGCAUAUAUGUUGGGACCCGAAAGAUGGUGAACUAUGCCUGAGCAGGAUGAAGCCAGAGGAAACUCUGGUGGAAGUCCAUAGCGGUUCUGACGUGCAAAUCGAUCGUCAGACUUGGGUAUAGGGGC
rnacentral:rRNA from 1 species